AGGUCCCGGUUUCGGCCCACC
rnacentral:misc_RNA from 1 species